rnacentral:lncRNA from 1 species
GUCGCAUAAUGAAUUAACAUUUGACGACCAGGAGUCCUUUCCAUUUUUGCCGAAAUUACUGGAGCUCUAUUUAAAUAAUAACAAACUAAGGUUUAUAGCCAAUGACACAUUCAGCAACCUAACCGGUCUCGACUUAUUAAAUUUGAGAUCCAACUCCAUAAGGGCUGUGGAUAUUGGGGCAUUUGCUAAUUUAAAGCAACUA